UACGUAGGGUGCAAGCGUUGCCCGGAUUUAUUGGGCGUAAAGGGCGCGUAGGCGGCUCUGCACGUUCGUUGUGAAAUCGCCCGGCUCAACUGGGCGGGGUCAGCGGAUACGGCAGAGCUUGAGCAAGCUAGGGGGCAAUGGAAUUCCCGGUGUAGUGGUGGAAUGCGUAGAUAUCGGGAGGAACACCGGUGGCGAAGGCGGCUCACUGGCUCAUUUCUGACGCUCAGGCGCGACAGCGUGGGGAUCAAACAGG
rnacentral:rRNA from 1 species